rnacentral:rRNA from 1 species
UGGGGAAUAUUGCGCAAUGGGCGAAAGCCUGACGCAGCGACGCCUCGUGAGGGAUGAAGGUCUUCGGAUCGUAAACCUCUGUCAAGAGGGAAGAAACCCUUAGGUUCGAACAGGACCUUUGGCUGACGGUACCUCUAAAGGAAGCACCGGCUAACUCCGUGCCAGCAGCCGCGGUAAUACGGAGGGUGCAAGCGUUAAUCGGCAUCACUGGGCGUAAAGCGCUCGUAGGCGGUUUGGUAAGUCAGACGUGAAAGCCCACGGCUUAACCGUGGAACUGCGUUUGAUACUGCCAGACUUGAGUGUCGGAGAGGGUGGCGGAAUUCCGGGUGUAGGAGUGAAAUCCGUAGAUAUCCGGAGGAACACCAGUGGCGAAGGCGGCCACCUGGACGACAACUGACGCUGAGGAGCGAAAGCGUGGGUAGCAAACA